CUCAGUUCGGAUCGAAGUCUGCAACCCGACUUCGUGAAGCUGGAUUCGCUAGUAAUCGCGCAUCAGCCAUGGCGCGGUGAAUACGUUCCCGGGCCUUGUACACACCGCCCGUCAAGCCAUGAAAGCCGGGGGUACCUGAAGUACGUAACCGCAAGGAGCGUCCUAGGGUAAAACUGGUAAUUGGGGCUAAGUCGUAACAAGGUACC
rnacentral:rRNA from 1 species